GACGUAGGAUGCGAGCGUUAUUCGGAUUUAUUGGGCGUAAAGCGUGCGUAGGCGGCUAUUUAAGUCUGGUGUUAAAGCUAGGGGCUCAACCCCUGUGAUGCACUGGAAACUGGGUAGCUUGAGUGCGGUAGGGGAAGGUGGAAUUCCGAGUGUAGCGGUGAAAUGCGUAGAUAUUCGGAAGAACACCGGUGGCGAAGGCGACCUUCUGGGCCGCAACUGACGCUGAGGCACGAAAGCCUGGGGAGCGAACGGG
rnacentral:rRNA from 1 species